AGUCGGAAUCGCUAGUAAUCGUGGAUCAGAAUGCCACGGUGAAUACGUUCCCGGGCCUUGUACACACCGCCCGUCACACCAUGGGAGUGGGUUGCAAAAGAAGUAGGUAGCUUAACCUUCGGGAGGGCGCUUACCACUUUGUGAUUCAUGACUGGGGUGAAGUCGUAACAAGGUAACCGUAGGGGAACCUGCGGUUGGAUCACCUCCUUACCUGAAGAUAC
rnacentral:rRNA from 1 species